rnacentral:tRNA from 1 species
GGGCCUGUAGCUCAGUCUGGCAGAGCACCGGCCUUUUAAGCCGGCUGUCGCGGGUUCGAAUCCCGCCGGGCCCG